rnacentral:rRNA from 1 species
GAUCCUGGCUCAGAUUGAACGCUGGCGGCAGGCUUAACACAUGCAAGUCGAACGGUAACAUAAAGGAGCUUGCUUCUUUGAUGACGAGUGGCGGACGGGUGAGUAAUGCUUGGGAAUCUAGCUUAUGGAGGGGGGAUAACUACGGGAAACUGUAGCUAAUACCGCGUAGAAUCGGGAGAUGAAAGUGUGGGACCUUCGGGCCACAUGCCAUAGGAUGAGCCCAAGUGGGAUUAGGUAGUUGGUGAGG